rnacentral:tRNA from 1 species
GCAUUUCUAGUAUAAAAGUAUAGUCGCCUUCCACGCGACCGGUUGAGGUAAUUUCUCAGAAAUGUA